rnacentral:rRNA from 1 species
CCUACGGGGGGCAGCAGUCGAGAAUCAUUCACAAUGGGGGAAACCCUGAUGGUGCGACGCCGCGUGGGGGAAUGAAGGUCUUCGGAUUGUAAACCCCUGUCAUGUGGGAGCAAAUUAAAAAGAUAGUACCACAAGAGGAAGAGACGGCUAACUCUGUGGCAGCAGCCGCGGUAAUACAGAGGUCUCACGCGUUGUUCGGAAUCACUGGGCGUAAAGCGUGCGUAGGCUGUUUCGUAAGUCGUGUGUGAAAGGCGCGGGCUCAACCCGCGGACGGCACAUGAUACUGGGAGACUAGAGUAAGGGAGGGGGAAGCGGAAUUCUCGGUGUAGCAGUGAAAUGCGUAGAUAUCGAGAGGAACACUCGUGGCGAAGGCGGGUUCCUGGACAUUAACUGACGUUGAGGGACGAAGGCCAGGGGAGCGAAAGGGAUUAGAUACCCUUGUAGUC